GCAUGGACUCAUCUAGGUGAAGGGCGACACCCACAGCCAAAAGUACGUCGACGAGGCCACCAAGAAGGAGGUCAAGGACAUCUUUCGGCCGCUAUGACCGCACCCUCCUCGUCGCCGACCCCAGGCGCUGCGAGCCCAAGAAGUUUGGUGGGCGCGGAGGGGUCGGGCGAGAUAGGCCAACAAGUGCACUUGAAUGCUGGAUCUAGGAAAAUGCUUCCAUACUAGGAACAACACUCUAAUGAAACAUCGAGUUGCUCCAGAA